UCCCGAUGGCUCAGAGGUAAAGAGCCUGCCUGCAAAGCAGGAGACACAGGUUCAAUCCCUGGGUCAGGAA
rnacentral:tRNA from 1 species